CCUACGGGGCGCAGCAGUGAGGAAUAUUGGUCAAUGGACGAGAGUCUGAACCAGCCAAGUAGCGUGAAGGAUGACUGCCCUAUGGGUUGUAAACUUCUUUUAUAUGGGAAUAAAAUGUUCCACGUGUGGGAUUUUGUAUGUACCAUAUGAAUAAGGAUCGGCUAACUCCGUGCCAGCAGCAGCGGUAAUACGGAGGAUCCGAGCGUUAUCCGGAUUUAUUGGGUUUAAAGGGAGCGUAGGUGGAUUGUCAAGUCAGUUGUGAAAGUUUGCGGCUCAACCGUAAAAUUGCAGUUGAAACUGGCAGUCUUGAGUACAGUAGAGGUGGGCGGAAUUCGUGGUGUAGCGGUGAAAUGCUUAGAUAUCACGAAGAACUCCGAUUGCGAAGGCAGUUCACUGGACUGCAACUGACACUGAGGCUCGAAAGUGUGGGUAUCAAACAGGAUUAGAUACCCUUGUAGUC
rnacentral:rRNA from 1 species